UGGUGGUGGUGUGCCGUGGGCGCGUCCGGAAUUACCUGGAAUUUCCAAAACUUCAGGAACGUCUUAGCACAUCUUCCUCCAUGAAAACGGCACCCAGCACAGCUUUGUUUAGAAGCACUGAAGUUACACACCACACACGGAUGUGUGCCG